UACUUAAAUAAUAUAAAUUAAUUAUACUUGAUUUCCAAUCAAAAUAUCUAAAAAUAUCUUAGUUUAA
rnacentral:tRNA from 1 species